CAAUUAAUCAAAAGAAGAAGAAAGACCCAGGACACCUGCUAUCUCACUCCGAGAAACCUAACCCUAAACCCAGCCACCAUCACCAUCCCUCAUCGCCAAACUCUUCUCCUCCGGUAGAGGGUGCUGUCACCGCCGGCGGGGACAGACCAUGGGUGCCGUCACCGCCGGCGGGGACAGACCAUGGGUGCCAUCUUACUCUUCUCAUCACCGAACUCUUCCCAGUUCUCAUCGUUCCUCUUCUCGUCACCGUCGCACGAAGGAAGCGUUGACCCCGUGGCGUCGCCGUCGUGAAGGUUGCUCAGUCAGUCGUCGUGUGUGUGUGUGUGUGUUUCCGAGGUGAACAUGCACUCUUCGAGCUCACUUCCCUUCCUCCGUCGCCGUCACUUCCGAUUCCUCCGUCGCCGUCACUUGCCUUUCUCCUUCGCCGCCGGUGUGGCUCUUAUGAUCAUAACUUAAAUGCAUCAGACUCUCCAGCUGCUCCUGGACCAAUUGAAUCAUUUAGUGAUAUGUGUGUGCAUCCAAGUAUCAUGAAGGAUAUUGCAUAUCAUCAAUACACCAGGCCAACUUCUAUCCAGGCACAGGCCAUGCCAAUUGCUCUUAGUGGAAGGGAUCUACUUGGGUGUACUGAAACUGGUAGUGGGAAAACUGUAGCUUUCACAAUUCCUAUGAUACAGCAUUGCAUGGCUCAAUCUCCUAUUUAGUGUGGUGAUGGUUCUCUGGCAUUAGUUUUGGCUCCUACUAGAGAACUUGUUCAACAAAUAGAGAAAGAGAUAGCUUAAAGGCUUUAAUAGAUCUCGAGUCAUUGAAAACUGCCAUAGUUGUGGGUGGAACUAACAUUGAAAAGCAGUUUUUCAGAUCUUGAAAAGCCACAAGGUGAAUUCGAUGGAAAAGCAUGUGCAGCCAUUGAGCAGAGUAGUCUUAUUUCUCUCUAUGAUACUAUGUUUCUCCAGCUUGAUGUGACUUCAUCCCAACUUCUUGUGAAUGAUGGCUUCUUUAGGGAUGCAGGUUUCAGAAAACAACUUUCAAACACUGUGCACUCACUAUUGGAUUUAAGAGUUAUCCUCAUUUUCAAUGAAAAUGAUGUUGUUAGUACUAGGAAGACACCAUAUGAGGCAAUGAUUCUUCCUGCUUAGCUUCCAGAUAAGUUGCUCUAUAGAAUUUGAAUAUUUCAGCUUAUAGCAAAAGUUCAAGUAUGGAUCUUUAUUAUAUUCCAUCAUAUUAUUCCAUUUUCAGAUAUCUUGAACUAACAAGAUUCUUAUUUCAGGUGUUAGGUUCUAAUUAUCUUAGUGUGUUACUUGAGGCUAUUGAUAUAAGGUCAUAUCCUUGAGAGAAGAGACGGAUAGUAAAAAUGAUUCAAAUAAUGGUGAUGUGGCUUUAGAAGAUUCUCCUUCGUGCCCAAAAAGGUGGGAAACCAAAAUGACUUUGGUUUUAAUCUAGCACUUGAUGAGUCAGCAUGUGCUGGAUCAAACUCAAAAUAUAAGUUAGCAUCGCAAAAAAUUAAUUGCCUGGAAGUUGCUUUUGGAGACACCAAGAACGCAGGUUAUGGAAUCGGUAGCCUUCUGGUAGACGCGGUCGCUGGGUGGUGCUAUAUGUAUGGAGUUAGUAGUCCUUUGGCAGUAAUAAUGGGAAUUAAAAUGUGUUGGCUCCCAACUUCUCCUAGAUGGCUACUUUUAUGUGCUAUAUAGGGAAAAGGGGAUGGAGAGAAUUUGAAAAGCACCGCAAUUCAUUAUCUGUGCCAUCUUCGAGAUCAAGCUGUUGAUGACUCAGCUCAUCGGCAAGUGGAUGAAAUUCUGGCAAAGCUUGCUUAUGUGGGUGAAGAAAAAGAGGUUACUUUUGGAGAAAUGUUCAGAGGAAAAUGCUUGAAAGCCCUUACCAUUGGUGCAGGAUUGGUCUUGUUUCAACAGAUCACAGGGCAACCAAGUGUGCUUUACUAUGCUGGAUCAAUCCUUCAGAGUGCAGGAUUUUCCGCUGCAUCUGAUGCAACCCGAGUCUCUAUUCUCCUUGGUUUUUUCAAGGUAAUUUCUGGCUGAAAUUGAGGGACUUGAGCAAAACUCUGAAAAAAAGCUGACAAAAGGACUGCUGAUGCUGUUGGAAUCUGACCUCCCUGCACUCGAAAUGGAUUUUAUGGAGCUACAGAACUCCAAAUGGCGCGCUCUCAACGGCAUUGGAAAGUAGACAUCCAGAGCUUUCCAGCAAUAUAUAAUAGUCCAUACUUUAUUCGGAAAUUGACGACGUAAAUUGGCGUUGAACGCCAAGUACAUGCUGCUGUCUGGAGUUAAACGCCAGAAACACGUCAUGAUCCGGAGUUGAACGCCCAAAACACGUUAAAACUUGGAGUUCAACUCCAAGAGAAGCCUCAACUCGUGGAUAGAUCAAGCUCAGCCCAAGCAUACACCAAGUGGGCCCCGAAAGUGGAUUUAUGCAUCAAUUACUUACUCAUGUAAACCCUUGUAGCUAGUCUAGUAUAAAUAGGAUAAUUUAUUAUUGGAUUAGACAUCUUUUGACAGUUUAAUCUUUUGACUGUUUAGUCUUUGAUCAUUCGGUCUUUUGAUCAUUUAGGGGGGCUGGCCAUUCGGCCAUGCCUGAACCUUUCACUUAUGUAUUUUCAACGGUGGAGUUUCUGCACACCAUAGAUUAAGGGUGUGGAGCUCUGCUGUACCUCAAGUU